rnacentral:misc_RNA from 1 species
CUCACAUGAAGCAAAUUUUAUGUAUCCUUCCAUCUUCCUUUCCAUUGGUUGCCCAUUCAUUUUGAUGUCAUUUAAGUUCUCAAUGAAUUUAUUGAAAAAAAUAUUGUGCCUGGUAAGAGAUGCAGGAAUAUUUUCCAAUGGAUUUAAAGGCAUGCAAUCAACAUCCAUGACAAAUUCAACCCCUAGUUCAGGUUGGUCAAACUGAACUCGGCACCUGCUAUGAUCAACAGUAAGUACACUUCCAUCAUGAAUUUCUCUCGUUUUUGGAUGAAGAGCAAUAAUACGUUGUCCAACGGAUAAGGGCCGAG